rnacentral:rRNA from 1 species
GACGAACGCUGGCGGCGUGCUUAACACAUGCAAGUCGAACGGAAAGGCCCUGCUUUUGUGGGGUGCUCGAGUGGCGAACGGGUGAGUAACACGUGAGUAACCUGCCCUUGACUUUGGGAUAACUUCAGGAAACUGGGGCUCAUACCGGAUAGGAGCUCCUGCUGCAUGGUGGGGGUUGGAAAGUUUCGGCGGUUGGGGAUGGACUCGCAGCUUAUCAGCUUGUUGGUGGGGUAGUGGAUUACCAAGGCUUUGAAGGGUAGCCGGCCUGGGAGGGUGACCGGCCACAUUGGGACUGAGGGACGGCCCAGACUCCUACGGGAGGCAGCAGUGGGGAAUAUUGCACAAUGGGCGGAAGCCUGAUGCAGCAACGCCGCGUGCGGGAUGACGGCCUUCGGGUUGUAAACCGCUUUCGCCUGUGACGAAGCGGGAGUGACGGUAAUGGGUAAAGAAGCACCGGCUAACUACGUG